ACGCUGGCGGCGUGGAUUAGGCAUGCAAGUCGGACGGUAGGGCUUUAUCGUAAGAUAGAGUUUGAGAGUGGCGAACGGGUGAGUAACACGUAGGAAUCUACCCUUAAGACGGGGACAACCCAGGGAAACUUGGGCUAAUACCGGAUGAGAGUGCGAGAGAUUGCAUUUAAAAGGAUGGCGAAAGUUGUCGCUUAGGGAUGAGCCUGCGGUCUAUUAGUUAGUUGGUGAGGUAAGAGCUCACCAAGGCGAUGAUAGAUAGGCGGCCUUAACGGGUGGUCGCCCACACUGGGAUUGAGAUACGGCCCAGACUCCUACGGGAGGCAGCAGUCGAGAAUAGUCUACAAUGGUCGGAAGACUGAUAGUGCGACGCCGCGUGAACGAUGAAUCCCUUCGGGGUGUAAAGUUCUUUUAUAUGUGAGCAGUGCUUCUUAUAUUAACAGUAUGGGGAGAGAGAUAUUAGCAUAUGAAUAAGCAACGGCUAACUCCGUG
rnacentral:rRNA from 1 species